GCAGGGUUCGACCCGGUUCACCUGGGCUCCAACGCCUUCAAGCAGGCGAGCAUGCUGUUGGCUUUAUUCGCGGGUGGGGACGGGUACAGAGUGGAAGAAAAUAAUGGGUGUCUGAUGCUUGGCUGGCACACUCGUCCCCUCAUCGCCACCUCCGCAUGGCAACUCAACUCCAACUUCAACCCCACCUCCACCUCUGCCUCCACCUCUGCUCAUUCUCAGUGACAUUGGGUCUGGAUGGCAACGCCCUUUUACUACUCUUUCUUUCCCUCCUGAGUCUCUCUGACUUGACUCUCCAUUCCUGAUUUUUCUCUCUUCUUGCUAGAUUGUAAUCUAUUUGCUUAGAUAUUUUUCCUUUAAUUAUCAUAUCAGGGUGGACCG
rnacentral:lncRNA from 1 species